AGAGUUUGAUCCUGGCUCAGGAUGAACGCUAGCGGCAGGCUUAACACAUGCAAGUCGAGGGGCAUCGGAGGGAAGCUUGCUUCCUUGCCGGCGACCGGCGCACGGGUGAGUAACACGUAUGCAACCUGCCCUCUUCAGGGGGACAACCUUCCGAAAGGGAGGCUAAUCCCGCGUAUAUCGGUUUCGGGCAUCCGAGAUCGAGGAAAGAUUCAUCGGAAGAGGAUGGGCAUGCGGCGCAUUAGCUUGACGGCGGGGUAACGGCCCACCGUGGCGACGAUGCGUAGGGGUUCUGAGAGGAAGGUCCCCCACACUGGUACUGAGACACGGACCAGACUCCUACGGGAGGCAGCAGUGAGGAAUAUUGGUCAAUGGGAGAGAUCCUGAACCAGCCAAGCCGCGUGAGGGAAGACGACCCUAUGGGUUGUAAACCUCUUUUGUCGGAGAACAAAACCCGGGACGUGUCCCGGACUGCGUGUAUCCGAAGAAAAAGCAUCGGCUAACUCCGUG
rnacentral:rRNA from 1 species